rnacentral:ncRNA from 1 species
AAUGAGAUUUUCUUAAUGGUCUUAGGGAGCGCAGCAAUUUUGGGACAUGGAUGUCCCGAAAAGUCCGCUGUGAGCCUGGAUGGCGAAUUGCGGAUGGUUGCGUCCGGUAAGACUUUCUUUCCCAGAACAUUUAGAAAAUCCAUUUUCCGAAG